rnacentral:guide_RNA from 1 species
ACCAUACAUGAUAUAUACAGUGAACUAUUAGAAUUAUAGGUAAU